rnacentral:tRNA from 4 species
UGUGGUAGUUCAGUUGGUUAGAAUACCUGCCUGUCACGCAGGGGGUCGCGGGUUCGAGUCCCGUCCAU